GCGCACCAGGCGAGAAUUUUCACAAUGGGCGCAAAGCCUGAUGGAGCGACGCCCGCGUGGGGGAUGAAUGGCUUCGGCCCGUAAACCCCUGUCAUUUGCGAUCAAACCUCAUUAUUUAAAAGAUGAUGAGCUGAUAGUAGCGAAAGAGGAAGGGACGGCUAACUCUGUGCCAGCAGCCGCGGUAAUACAGAGGUCCCAAGCGUUGUUCGGAUUCACUGGGCGUAAAAGGGUGCGUAGGUGGUGAGGUAAGUCGGAUGUGAAAGCUCGGAGCUCAACUCCGAAAUGGCAUUGGAAACUACCUUGCUCGAGGGUUGGAGGGGGACUGGAAUACUUGGUGUAGCAGUGAAAUGCGUAGAUAUCAAGUGGAACACCAGUGGCGAAGGCGAGUCCCUGGACAACUCCUGACACUGAGGCACGAAAGCUAGGGGAGCAAACAGGAUUAGAUACCCGUGUAGU
rnacentral:rRNA from 1 species